rnacentral:rRNA from 1 species
UACGUAGGGUGCGAGCGUUAAUCGGAAUUACUGGGCGUAAAGCGUGCGCAGGCGGUUUUGUAAGCCAGAUGUGAAAUCCCCGGGCUUAACCUGGGAAUGGCAUUUGGGACUGCAAGGCUGGAGUGCGGCAGAGGAGACUGGAAUUCCUGGUGUAGCAGUGAAAUGCGCAGAUAUCAGGAGGAACACCGGUGGCGAAGGCGGGUCUCUGGGCCGAUACUGACGCUGAGGAGCGAAAGCGUGGGGAGCGAUCCGG